AUCGUCCUGGGUGUGUCCGUGAGGGUGUUUCUGGAUGAGAUCAACCUUUGAGUUGGUAGACUGAGAAAAGCAGCCGGUCCUCCCUGACGUGCACGAGCCUCGUCCAGUUAACUAAAGACCUGAACAGAACAGAAAGGCUGAGUAAGGAACCUCUCCCUGCCCGACUGAUCGAGCUGGCAUGGUGGUCUUCUGCCUGUGGACUUGAGCUGAAAAAGUGGCUCUUCUUGGAUCUGAGCCUGCUGGCUUUUGGACUAGAGCUCACACCAUCAGCCCUCCUGGGUAUUCAGCUUGCCAACUGCAGAUCUUGAGACUUCUCAGCCUCCAUAAUCACGAGCCAACUUCUUAUAACGACUUUCUUGGUCUCUUUCUUUAUAUCUACACAGCCUAUUGGUUCCGUUUCUCUGGGGAACCGUGACUAAUACAGAUGGGUAUUAUUGUCUCCAUUUUACAGACGAGGAAAGAAAAGGCCAGAGAGGUUAGGUGGGGGAGUAGGGACUCAGAUUAGCACAGACUUGACUGCCUAGUUCUUGGCCUCUGUGCUGGGACAUCCGCCAGGUUCUGGGUCUGCGCACCGCCUCUGCAGCCACACGGUAAAACGCCUGAGCCCUGCAACUUGGAAGCACGAGGAGCAGAUGCCGGAGGACCACAGAGAGCUGUCACCUCCAAGGAGCAGGGUUGGGGACUGGGGAAGAGGAGAGGAGUCCAGGGAAUCCCCAUCCUUGGUUUUCAGAGAAGGAGGAAAAUAGCCAGAGGAUUGAUGUCUGCGUUCUUGAGUCUAUGCGCCGUGAGGCAGGGACACGUGCAGCCUGCUUGAUCGUAGCUAUCAAAGCCGUGGGUCUCACUGAAGCCAACACAUGAUCGUCGUUCCAACAGAGACUGAAAGGAAACUUCCCCACAGCCUGAUGACUGCACCUGUGCUCCGGCUCCACCACGCUGGCCCCACCUUACAUCUUUGUGCUGUUUGACCCUGGAGCUCUCUCAUCUGCGCUUGACUCUUACUUGUCACUCAGAUCUCAGCUCAAAAAUC
rnacentral:lncRNA from 1 species